CAUUUCUGGAAAGAUACACGACGCGUAAUUCAUUUAUUUCAGACGACACCUCGUAGUCGCCACACGUAAAUGGAUAAAAAUGUUUUACAGUGUUCUUUUAUUAAAAUCUUUGAUUUAGGUUAGCCCCCCAAAAAAAAUGCACAGGCGCCAUUAUGAAAUGUGCUUCCAAAUUUAUAUAGCAGAUGACAUUGUAACUGUAAGCACUGAUAUGUACUGACCGAGUAAGAUCAGUAGUAUUGAAUCAUUGCCCAGUGUUAAUUUGGAGCAGUCUUGAUAUGCUACACACCCAUGAACUAUUGACUUUGUCACUCUGCACUGACAUCUGGUGGAUGUUAAAAAUCAUUGCUGGGAAACUCUUUCUUUUCAGUGUAACAUUUAAAUAAUUGUGUGUUUUUUUUAUUGUACGUGGCAUUCAUUUAUUUUAUCCUAUUUUAAUAUGGCAAUGAUAUCUUGUGUAGUUAAUAAAUUAAUCGCAAAGUCAGUCAGAUGUAUUAUAAUAGUUAUUAUUAAAUGAAUAAUUUGCCAUUUGUCAUCUACAAACGAAACAAGUCAAUUUCUCUCUUUUUUUUCUCUUUCAGAAUGGCGACAAAUAUGAUUUGCGCGAAAGUAGUCGCAAUGAGGAGUGCUCUGCGUGCGAAGAGCUGGAUUUAUGCAGCUGAUGGCACCUUGUCCAUGCACGGCCAGCACAAUAAUGUAACUGUUGCCCUCUGUGACGACGAGAAAGCCUAUAAAAUAGUUCUGUUUGAACACUUGGCAGCCCUCGUCACAGAGGGACACAGUUACAUUUUUUUAAACUUUGGUGUGGACGAACGGGGCCAAGGGCUCCUCACCAAACCCGGCUCAAAAAUUUUCAUGGCGGCGGAAGUGCAAACCAGCCCACAGCUGGAAGAAGAGGUCAGGGCCCUGGUCUACCCCAAGUCAGUGGCAUCAUCUCCUCAGGAGGUAGUGAAUAAACUACCUGAGGAGAUGGUGUCACUGGAUGGCGUAAUAACCGAUAUGCGUCCAAUCCGCAUGGUGCGCCAGAGAGGGAACAACCUUGCGCCAUUUCGGACUUUGACACUUAAAAAGUAAGUAGCCAUUUGUACUUCCCCUGUUGUAGCACCUUGCACACAUACUUUUUUUAAACUACCGCAGGAUGAAGCCGCUGUCAAAAUUGGCCUUUGGCGGGAGGCUAACCUCAUUGAGUUGAAGGUAGGGGGUUCCUUCGUGUUCACCCACCUGAGUGCCCGGGUGAACGAUUCGGGAGUAAUGCUCCACUCUACGACUUUCACAGAUAUAAAGGCCUGCAACUCCAGCCUCAUCCUAACCGUCUGUGGUAUCCUCUAUGGGGAAGAGGUGGUGGAGGUUGUGUCUGAUUCGGGCGAAGUGACAAGCAUCAAGCUUGAGAUCUGGCAAAAAACUUUCAGCCAGCCCCCAAAGAUACCACAAGAUGGG